rnacentral:rRNA from 1 species
GAUGAACGCUGGCGGCGUGCCUAAUACAUGCAAGUCGAGCGAACAGACGAGGAGCUUGCUCCUCUGACGUUAGCGGCGGACGGGUGAGUAACACGUGGAUAACCUACCUAUAAGACUGGGAUAACUUCGGGAAACCGGAGCUAAUACCGGAUAAUAUAUUGAACCGCAUGGUUCAAUAGUGAAAGACGGUUUUGCUGUCACUUAUAGAUGGAUCCGCGCCGCAUUAGCUAGUUGGUAAGGUAACGGCUUACCAAGGCAACGAUGCGUAGCCGACCUGAGAGAGUGAUCGGCCACACUGGAGCUGAGACACGGUCCAGACUCCUACGGGAGGCAGCAGUAGGGAAUCUUCCGCAAUGGGCGAAAGCAUGACGGAGCAACGCCGCGUGAGUGAUGAAGGUCUUCGGAUCGUAAAGCUCUGUUAUUAGGGAAGAACAAAUGUGUAAGUAACUAUGCACGUCUUGACGGUACCUAAUCAGAAAGCCACGGCUAACUACGUG